AAACCACCGGGAACUAACCAAAGUAGGAGUAGAUUCUUCUCUCUCCCCACUACUUCUUCUCCCUUUCUCUCUCACCUCUCCAUUUACGCUUGACUGUGCUCCAGUUCAGUCUCUUGCUCUGUUUCUCUAGCUUUAAAAGGGGCUUCUCCUCCAUCCACUGAAGCUCUCCUGCUUCAACUUGGUGUGCUUUUUUUAGAGAGAGAGAGAGAGAGAAGAGAAGGAUCAAAGAAGAGGAAUGUAUGCUGAAACCGACCUAGUGUUCCCGUACUUCCAGAACUUCUCUCAAGAAGUACUGCAACUUGAAGACUUCUGUCGCUCUCACAAAUCCAAUGUAAUUCCUAUGUAUUAUGAUCAAGCUGCUUCAACUAUAUACUCAAUGAAUUCUGUUUCAUUUCGGCAUCCAACGGGCAACCUGGUUCAGACAUCCACCAUAUCAGAGUAUGACUUGGGGGGAGAAGGAGAUCUAUUCAAGGCUCCGGAACCAAUAAUCGAAGAACCAGAUGUGGGUCUUGAUCCCAUGACAGCUGCCAUUUCAAUGAUCUCUUGUGGGGAAGAUGUCAUAACCCCGCAAACACUCAAAGUUGCGGACACUGAAUCAAUUCAAACUGAGCAACUUAUGAGCGAGGUUUUCUAUGAAUGCAAGAAGGAUAUAUUGGCAAAAGAAGCUAUUGAAUCAACGCUAUCCGAUAUAAUGGAUAUAAAGAUUCCUGUUGUAGGGACAGAGGAAAACUUGAUUUCAGAUGGCAAUUUUUUUACUGAAGAGUCUUUUCAAAAGAGUCUAAGUUUGGAAUGUUUAAGCUCAAUGGAUUGGAUGCAUGGGGCUCCAAUGAGGCCAAAUUUUCUGGAUUUUCCUGGAAUAGACCUGGAUGCUGUUUAUGGGAUGCGAAGGGCAUUUAGUGAAGGCGACAUAAAGGAUGGGGCUGGGUCAUUGAUACUGAGUUUUUAUGACAGACUCUUGGUAAUGGCAAUGUGAGCCUCAUCCAUUCUUCCCAUGGGCUGCCUCCACUUAUUGGAAAUUCUACCACUGAAGACCGCAGGCAAAAGCUUUCCAGAUAUAGGAACAAGAAGACAAAGAGGAACUUUGGCCGGAAAAUCAAGCUCUAUCAGAAAUCAUUUUGCACCCUCUUCCCAAAGUCUGCAUAAGUGCUUUAGGGUUGUUAGAUGAUUCCCGGCAGCAUUGAACAAUCGAACAUGAAAUGGAACCUUGGGAUGUCGAUUAAGUCAGACGUUGUCCAACUACUUUGGCUGUGAAUCCCUUCAAAAUCACAUUCCAGAAUUGGGUUAUAUUUUCUCCAUUACCUAACUUCCUUAAGGUGUCCACUACUGUAACCAUUAAGAAGUAUGCUUGCAGGAAGGCUUUGGCGGACAGUCAACCAAGGAUUCGCGGAAGAUUUGCAAAGACAGAAGAAUCUGAUUUUCCGAAGAAGGAAUGACUUCCCGACUCUACGAGUAAAAAAAUGAGGAAAUGUAGAAAGGAAGUAGAGCUAUAGAUGAAGAAGAACAAA